rnacentral:rRNA from 1 species
GUGCGUAACGCGUAUACAAUCUGCCUUUCACUGGGGGAUAGCCCGAAGAAAUUUGGAUUAAUACCCCAUAGWAUAGUAGUGUGGCAUCRYRMWACUAUUAAAGCYYWGGUGGUGAAAGAUGAGUAUGCGUUCUAUUAGYUAGUUGGAGAGGUAACGGCUCCCCAAGGCUAYGAUAGAUAGGGGUUCUGAGAGGGAUGUCCCCCACACUGGUACUGAGAUACGGACCAGACUCCUACGGGAGGCAGCAGUGAGGAAUAUUGGACAAUGGUCGGAAGACUGAUCCAGCCAUGCCGCGUGCAGGAUGACGGCCUUAUGGGUUGUAAACUGCU